UGGUAGCGCGUCUGACUCCAGAUCAGAAUGUUGCGUGUUCAAGUCACGUCGGGGUCA
rnacentral:tRNA from 1 species